CAGUAGCCGCGGGAAUACGUAGGUGGCAAGCGUUGUCCGGAAUUAUUGGGCGUAAAGGGCUCGCAGGCGGUUUCUUAAGUCUGAUGUGAAAGCCCCCGGCUCAACCGGGGAGGGUCAUUGGAAACUGGGAAACUUGAGUGCAGAAGAGGAGAGUGGAAUUCCACGUGUAGCAGUGAAAUGCGUAGAGAUGUGGAGGAACACCAGUGGCGAAGGCGACUCUCUGGUCUGUAACUGACGCUGAGGAGCGAAAGCGUGGGGAGCGAACAGGAUUAGAUACCCCUGUAGUCCCUGUCUCUUAUAC
rnacentral:rRNA from 1 species